CCUACGGGGGGCAGCAGUGGGGAAUAUUGCACAAUGGGCGCAAGCCUGAUGCAGCCAUGCCGCGUGUGUGAAGAAGGCCUUCGGGUUGUAAAGCACUUUCAGCGGGGAGGAAGGCGUUAAGGUUAAUAACCUUGGCGAUUGACGUUACCCGCAGAAGAAGCACCGGCUAACUCCGUGCCAGCAGCCGCGGUAAUACGGAGGGUGCAAGCGUUAAUCGGAAUUACUGGGCGUAAAGCGCACGCAGGCGGUCUGUCAAGUCGGAUGUGAAAUCCCCGGGCUCAACCUGGGUACUGCAUUCGAAACUGGCAGGCUAGAGUCUUGUAGAGGGGGGUAGAAUUCCAGGUGUAGCGGUGAAAUGCGUAGAGAUCUGGAGGAAUACCGGUGGCGAAGGCGGCCCCCUGGACAAAGACUGACGCUCAGGUGCGAAAGCGUGGGGAGCAAACAGGAUUAGAUACCCGUGUAGUC
rnacentral:rRNA from 1 species